rnacentral:rRNA from 1 species
GACGAACGCUGGCGGCGUGCUUAACACAUGCAAGUCGAACGGAAAGGCCCUGCUUUUGUGGGGUGCUCGAGUGGCGAACGGGUGAGUAACACGUGAGUAACCUGCCCUUGACUUUGGGAUAACUUCAGGAAACUGGGGCUAAUACCGGAUAGGAGCUCCAGCUGCAUGGUGGGGGUUGGAAAGUUUCGGCGGUUGGGGAUGGACUCGCGGCUUAUCAGCUUGUUGGUGGGGUAGUGGCUUACCAAGGCUUUGACGGGUAGCCGGCCUGAGAGGGUGACCGGUCACAUUGGGACUGAGAUACGGCCCAGACUCCUACGGGAGGCAGCAGUGGGGAAUAUUGCACAAUGGGCGGAAGCCUGAUGCAGCAACGCCGCGUGCGGGAUGACGGCCUUCGGGUUGUAAACCGCUUUCGCCUGUGACGAAGCGUGAGUGACGGUAAUGGGUAAAGAAGCACCGGCUAACUACGUG